CUGCCUGAUAAAUUAACGUGUACUUGCUCGAAGAGUCUUCUCUCUCUUCUCUUCUGAUAAAAUUUCUCUGAGAGAAUUACUUUUUAUUUGUUUAUAAUUUUGAUCAAUAGAUCGAAUCUUUUGUUCGCUUGGACGAUUAUAUAUGUUUCGCAGUGGCGAUUUUCCUCCGGUUUGUGGAUAUUAAACUUUUGUUUUAAUCACCCUUCCUUUUCGAAAAUCAUCCUCCAAAUCCCUUUCGAUCUUAAAAGAAUCAGUAGUGUUGAAGCUUCCUUUAUAAGUGAGAAGUGUUUCAACGAAGAGUCUGUAAUAGGUUUACUAAAGUUUUCUCUUCGAUUACCACCUCCGGCUAUUUGGCUACCGGUGUUAAGGUCCUUUAACCAUUGACGGUGAAAUAGAGGAAAGAGCAUGAAAGUGGUACUAAGAUCUAAGGAUGGUGGUUUCUCGCUUUUUCUUAACGAUUCUCUCUUUGCCCACACUGCGAAAUAACAGUCCGGCGAGAUCUCCGGUGAAGCUUUCGGUGAUGCACUCAACAACACAUGAACAAGACGCGUGGACAAGAACAAACGCGUGCUUAGGUUUAGUUGUUGUUUUUGGGACUUUAAAUAUGGGCUUUCUGUAAUGGAUAAAAACUUUACCAAACCACUUCUGUUAAGCUUUGGCUUUGAGCCUUCAAUGAUACAUGGUUGACAAAAAUUAACG